rnacentral:rRNA from 1 species
UGAGCGUCCUAAGGUAGCGCGAUAAUUUGCUUUUCAAUUGAAGGAUGGUAUGAAAGGGUUAACGAAGAAGGUGCUGUGUCUAAAAAUUCAAUUUAAACUAACUUUAAGGUGAAGAGGCCUUUAUGUAAAAGAAGGACGACAAGACCCUAUGAAGCUUUAUCUUAAUUGGAGCUUUCAGGCUCUUAUACGAUUUUGAUGGGAGAUCAGUAGAAAUAAGUCCUCUACUAUUAUAUUAAUCUUACUAGUAUUUCCUAACUUUAUAUGUGUGACUAGCUACUCUAGGGAUAACAGCGCAAUUUCUCCCGAAAGAUGGUAUUGGAGGGGAAGAUUGCGACCUCGAUGUUGGCUUUAGAUACCCUAGA